rnacentral:lncRNA from 1 species
AGGCAUUUAAAAAGAAAUAACUGGCUAUGGGUUUGCAACUAAGUCAGUAGAGAAAUGCCUAGUGUAAAUGAGGUGGUGGGUUCGGGUUUUAGCACUGAUUUUCUUACUAGAAAUUCUACUUCUUUGGUUUCUUCUAAAUUAAAAGUGUUUAAUAAACUAAAGAAAUGACCUUCAAUGAUUAGUUCAUGUAUAGAAUACGUAAGAAUGCGACCACGUGAAUUUCUAGUCGUGUGUGCUUUUUCUAUAUAUGAAUCAAUUUACACAUUUUUGUGCUUUGUUAUUAAUAAUCUAUAUGAAUGUAGAGUUUUAGAUGAAUUUAAUGUCAACUAGGGAUUAAUGUGCAUUAAUUAAAUUGACAGUAUCUUCUCUAAUGAGAAAAAAGGAUUUAGUUGUAAUACUGAUGAUCUUAAUAAAGCUUUCCUCGACUUGUCUGUAUUUUCUCAACAUUAGAAAUUAUUUUUAUUAGAAGGUGAAGUGACUUAGUGCUGGCUAGGUGGCAAAACUCAGAUAAAUCAAGUGAUUGCAAACUGAUUUUGAUUUUGUUUUGGAGGUUGUCUAACCAAGCCUUGUAACUUUCAAUUAAAAAGGAAUCAAUUUGUGUCAGCCAUUUAAAAAUAAAAACACAAAUUGAACUCCACAUUUAGUUUUCUUUUGAGUAUUACGUAAGAUGGCUAGACAUUUGGAGCGAUUAGACGCAGGCUGUAUCUACAUGUUCAACAUCUUUGUUUGAAUCUUACAGAAUGUAAAAGCUGUAUUUGCCCAAAUGCUUUUCAAGUACAAUUCUUGUCACAGAAGGAACCAUAUUUUGUAAUAAAAUCUUGCUACAGAUCUGUGAAGACUCUGGAAUUAUUGUAUCAUCACUCUGAGAAAGAGCCAUAAUAUCCCAACACAUGUGGGAGUGCAAAAUUGUCCUGAUGUGUUGUUCCCUCCCAGGAAGCUAUCCACAUAAAAGACUGUGUGCCUCAGUUACAUUCACCAGACCCCCUGAGGUUCGGAUACCUCUCCUCACCCCUGACUCUUUGUUGUUGUUAAGAUAUGGUUUUUGUGAAGCUCAGACCAGGCUGGCCUCAGACUCACAAUCCUUUUUAUCUUUAUCUCUCCAAGUACCAUCAUGCUAACCCAAUUACUUUCGUUUUUUUAAUAGUAUUUCUUUUUUAAAAAAGAUUUAUUUAUGUAUUAUAUGUAAGUACAUUGUAGCUGUCUUCAGACACUCCAGAAGAGGGAGUCAGAUCUUGUUACAGACGGUUGUGAGCCACCAUGUGAUUGCUGGGAUUUGAACUCCGGACCUUCAGAAGAGCAGUCGGGUGCUCUUACCCACUGAGCCAUCUCACCAUCCCAUCCAAUUACUUUCUAACUUACAACUUCAUUAUUAUUUUGAAGUGGAAAAUUGAGGCAAGAAUGCAGCAAGAGGAGGAACU